GGCUGAAACUCGCCUUCAUGAAGUCGGAAUUGCUAGUAAUGGCAGGUCAGCAUACUGCCGUGAAUACGUUCCCGGGCCUUGUACACACCGCCCGUCACACCAUGAGAGUUAGGAAUACCCGAAGCCUGUGAGCCAACUUAUCCAAGAGGCAGCAGUCGAAGGUAGAACUAAUGAUUGGGGUGAAGUCGUAACAAGGUAUC
rnacentral:rRNA from 1 species